rnacentral:rRNA from 1 species
UUGAACGCUAGCGGCAGGCCUCACCCAUGCCAGUCGAGCGGAUGAAGGGAGCUUGCUCCUGGAUUCAGCGGCGGACGGGUGAGUAAUGCCUAGGAAUCUGCCUGGUAGUGGGGGAUAACGUCCGGAAACGGGCGCUAAUACCGCAUACGUCCUGAGGGAGAAAGUGGGGGAUCUUCGGACCUCACGCUAUCAGAUGAGCCUAGGUCGGAUUAGCUAGUUGGUGGGGUAAAGGCCUACCAAGGCGACGAUCCGUAACUGGUCUGAGAGGAUGAUCAGUCACACUGGAACUGAGACACGGUCCAGACUCCUACGGGAGGCAGCAGUGGGGAAUAUUGGACAAUGGGCGAAAGCCUGAUCCAGCCAUGCCGCGUGUGUGAAGAAGGUCUUCGGAUUGUAAAGCACUUUAAGUUGGGAGGAAGGGCAGUAAGUUAAUACCUUGCUGUUUUGACGUUACCAACAGAAUAAGCACCGGCUAACUUCGUG